CGCUCUCCUCACGGCCCCGCCCGCCAUGUUCUCGGCGCCCCCGCCCGGGACGCUGGUGCCGGUUUUGGUGCUGAACGUGAGUUAUUUCUAGGCUGCGGCACCUAAACAAGAUUUUUUUCAAAGGGACCGGGAACAUGUCCCGUUUUUUCUGCCUCGCAGCAAGUUCAGGGCACGAUUUCUUCAACGAAGGGCGCGCACCCAGGCUGCAAACGUGCCCUUCUCCCGGCCGUUUUGAGGACCUAUCCUAAAAUUGCUGUGUUUCAAAAACAAUUUUAAGCCUGUCCUGCAGCAUCUUUUAAAGUCUGCAAUGGGCGUUAAGAGGUCGAUAUGCAUCAAGGAGAGAAGGCAAUGAGCUUUGCUGCUUCCCAAGUGGUAAAUGGUGGCAAACUGGUGUGACAGGAUCAUCUACCAACUUGGGGUCCUUUACAACCCAUAACUGGCCUUGCCACCCUGUUUGCCCAUAGUCUGUGGCCAGGAUGAUUUCAGUGGAAGUUACUGGGUGAAACACAGACUCUUUUCCAAUCACCAAGUUACUCAGUGCUGUCAAGAGCUCUCCAAAGGUAUCUGAAGUUUUUCAUGGCUGAAGCAAGCAGGAUGAGAGAAGUCACUCUCACUGAUGAAACAGGACUAUCUGACACAAGAGAAACCUCUCCCAGCACCACAAAUUACCCACAGCAAGCAGGGUCUAGCUUGGAUUGCUCAGGAUGCCCAGCCUUAAAAGUUGGUACAACAAUGAAAAAUUUCAGAAAUGAAAGACAAUGACAGUAAUCAGAAAA